UGAGGAGCCCUCCCGUGUGAGUCAAUCCUCCGUGUCCACACCAUGGGGUCUGCACUCCUCUGGGCUUCCCUCCUCAUCACUGUCAAAGGUGUCCUGAGCGAAGUUCAGCUGGUGGAGUCUGGGGGAGGCUUGGUGCAGCCUGGAGGGUCUCUCAGCCUGUCCUGCAAAGCCUCUGGAUUCACCUUCACUAACUACAGCAUGCACUGGUUCCACCAGGUUCCAGGGAAGGGGCUGGAAUGGGUGGCAGGGGUUAGUCAACCAUCUGGAACAAAGCAGUGGUAUGCUCCAUCAGUUCAGGGAAGAUUCACCAUCUCCAGAGACAACCCUGCCAACACAGUCUCUCUUAAAAUGACCAACCUUAAAACUGAAGACACGGCCGUGUAUUACUGUACUAGAGGAACAGUGAGGGGAAGUCGUUGUGAGCCCAGGCAUAAACCUCCCUGA